UCCACAGGCAGAGAUUGGAGGUGGUGCUA
rnacentral:piRNA from 1 species